GCUGGUGUAGCUCAAUUGGUAGAGCAGUUGCCUUGUAAGCAUCAGGUUGAGGGUUCGAUUCCUUCCAUCAGCUCCA
rnacentral:tRNA from 1 species